UAUCAAUGUAUCGCUCGGAUGUGGAAAAAGCGAACAACAGCCUUGACCCGCUUUCCUCGCAUAUUCCCUGCAUAUAUUCUUUUAUUUCUUGAAAAAAGCGCGACCGUGCCGUAAAGUCAGGGCCCCGGUGAUGUCUCAAGUCAGCCCUGAGACACGAUUCGAGCUCCGCGAAGAGGAUUGUGUCACGUUCUUCGAUUUCGAGGACGGCACUCUCUGAUUGUGAGUCAGCCGACCGAAAAACUUGAACAUCCCGCGUCAAGGUUGUUUUUGAAAUUUGGAAACGCUCCGGAGGUCGCGCGACCGCGCUUUUAUCUCCGUCACGGACAUCGUCGCCGGGGGCUUCCUUAUUAUCGCGCCGAAAAACGCACGAAGGAGAGGAUUAUCGAAUCGAAGGAGAGGUCGACCGAGUCAUCCAUAUAUACGAACGGCAUUAAACGAGGCUUGAUGCGCGCGUCCACGCGCUCUCUAUUGAUUCCAUGACCCGAAGCGGCGAGCCAAUUUGUCGAAGGGAAGCACACUAGUUUCUUACGUGGAACAUCUCGCGGAGAAAAGACAGAAUACGUGAAAUUACAAAACUCAAGAGAGAAGGCUAUAUCAAAAUAAACAUGCCAAAUUUUCUUCCAGA